GUUUCGUUGGUGCAGUGGUAGCAUGCCCCCUUAGGGUUUUCUUCGGAGAGCUUUGGGGGUGGUCCUCGGUUCAAUCCCGGGACGAGACC